rnacentral:rRNA from 1 species
UACGAAGGGGGCUAGCGUCGCUCGGAAUCACUGGGCGUAAAGCGCACGUAGGCGGAUUGUUAAGUCAGGGGUGAAAUCCUGGAGCUCAACUCCAGAACUGCCUUUGAUACUGGAGAGCUAGAGUCCGGAAGAGGUGAGUGGAACUGCGAGUGUAGAGGUGAAAUUCGUAGAUAUUCGCAAGAACACCAGUGGCGAAGGGCGGCUCACUGGCCCGGUACUGACG